AUGAUAAUGGUAGUAGUAGUAUUAGUAUUAGUAGUAGUAGUAGUAGUAGUAGCAACAAUAGCAGCAGUAGUAGUAGUAGNNNNNNNNNNUAGUAGUAGUAGUAGUAGCAACAAUAGCAGCAGUAGUAGUAGUAGUACCUCCUUUCAUUUUCAAUAUAUUAUCAUUAAUUUGGAAGAAAAGAUAAAACAAAUUGAUACAAAUAGGAAUAGUAAUAAUUAUAAUAAAAAUGACAUAAAUUUAAGAAAUACACAUAAAAAACAAUCUUUAAUAUUUUUUUUAAUAAAAAAUAUUUUUUUUAUGGUAUCAAAAAAAUAUAUAUUAAAACAAUUUAUAAAUUAUAAAAGUAAUAAACAUAUUAUAGAUAUAGUUUUAAACAAUUUUUCAGAAAAAAUAAAUUCUUUUAAUAAUAAAAAUGUAGAAAUUAUUAAAAAAAAUGAAGAUGAAGAUAGACAUAUGUUUGAAGAUCAAUUAAAUGAUAUUUAUUACUCAGAUGACGAAUUUUUUUUAAAAAAUAAUACUCCUAGUAAAAAUUCAACAGAAGAUAAAACAUUUACUAAUGAUAAAAAUUAUAUGAUUAAUGACCAAAAUUUAAAUACAGACAUAAAUAAUAAUUCGGAUGUUUCAAACAAACAAAAUAUAACAAAAGAAAUAAACAAUUUUAAAUAUUAUAAAUAUAAUAAAAUUAUUAAAGUUAUAGAAAAUUAUAAAAACAAUGAUAAUGUAACAGAGUUACUUACAUUACCAGACUCAACGAGUGUAGACAAGUGUUUACAUUUUUUGAUCUAUUCAAAGUUUAUUUAUUUUGAAAAAAGGGUCAUAAAUAUAUAUUUAAAUAAAAUAUUUUUUCCACAUGUAUUAUACAAUUCGUGUUAUGUUAAUGACGAAUACAAUAAAACUAAUACUUACAAUGGAACCACUAGAACUUACAAUAAAGCUACUAAUAGUUGCAAUAAAACCUCUAAUAGUUGCAAUAAAACCACUAUAACUUACAAUGACGACUGUGUUGCUUUUAAUUUGGGAGAUGACUACAAUAACUUAGUAAAUAGAAAACAAUCGGAUGUAAUUAUUCAUAAAAAAGUAAAAAAAAGUAUCUAUUUUGUAUUAAAAAAAAGGUUUUUUGAUUUAUUUUUAAGUGAAAUAAAAAAAGAAAACAUAAAAAAAACUUCAUUAAAUUUGGAAGAACAUACAAUUUCUUUAUUAACUUAUAAAAAUUUUAUUUUAAUACAAGUAUGUAAAAAUGAAAUUAAUUUAUUAUUUAACAAUAAUAUUUAUAUUUUAUUUAAAAAAAUAAGUUCAGAAAAUAUAAUAAAAUCAUGUAAAUUAAUAAAAAAUUAUUUAAUCGUUGAGUAUGAAAAAGGAAACUGUAAAAUAAUGUUAUUUAAUAUUAAUAUUAUAAACAAAUUAAAAAAAAAAUAA
rnacentral:lncRNA from 1 species